rnacentral:rRNA from 1 species
UACGGAGGGUGCAAACGUUGCUCGGAAUUAUUGGGCGUAAAGCGCACGUAGGCGGCCGAUUAAGUCGGGUGUGAAAGCCCAGGGCUCAACCCUGGAAGUGCACUCGAAACUGGUCGGCUUGAAUAUGGAAGAGGGUCGCGGAAUUCCCGGUGUAGAGGUGAAAUUCGUAGAUAUCGGGAGGAACACCAGUGGCGAAGGCGGCGACCUGGGCCAAUAUUGACGCUGAGGUGCGAAAGCGUGGGGAGCAAACAGG